rnacentral:rRNA from 1 species
CGACUCAUUAAGGGCGAUUGAUACCGCCGUAAAACGCAUGCAUUCUGACCUGGAUCUGUCUGGAUGAACAAUGCGCAUGCUAACACAUGCCGUCGAGCGAGAAUCACAGGACGGAAUCCUUCGGGAUGAAGACUUGUGAGGAGAGCGGCGGACGGGUGAGUAACGCGUGAGUAACCUGCCCUUGAGAGGAGGAUAACACACCGAAAGGUGUGCUAAUACUGCAUAACAUACAUUAGCCGCAUGACUGAUGUAUCAAAGAUUUAUCGCUCAAGGAUGGACUCGCGUCCGAUUAGAUAGUUGGCGGGGUAACGGCCCACCAAGUCGACGAUCGGUAGCCGAACUGAGAGGUUGAUCGGCCACAUUGGGACUGAGACACGGCCCAGACUCCUACGGGAGGCAGCAGUGGGGAAUAUUGCGCAAUGGGGGAAACCCUGACGCAGCAACGCCGCGUGAAGGAUGAAGGUCUUCGGAUUGUAAACUUUUGUCUUAUGGGACGAAAAAGGACGGUACCAUAGGAGGAAGCCACGGCUAACUACGUGCCAGCAGCCGCGGUAAUACGUAGGUGGCAAGCGUUAUCCGGAUUUACUGGGUGUAAAGGGCGUGUAGGCGGGACGGCAAGUCAGAUGUGAAAUACCGAGGCUUAACUUCGGGGCUGCAUUUGAAACUACCGUUCUUGAGUGUCGGAGAGGAAAGCGGAAUUCCCAGUGUAGCGGUGAAAUGCGUAGAUAUUGGGAGGAACACCAGUGGCGAAGGCGGCUUUCUGGACGAUAACUGACGCUGAGGCGCGAAAGCGUGGGUAGCAAACAGGAUUAGAUACCCUGGUAGUCCACGCCGUAAACGAUGAGUACUAGGUGUAGGAGGUAUCGACCCCUUCUGUGCCGCAGUUAACACAAUAAGUA